AAAAAAUAAAAAUUAUUUUGAAAUUUUAUUUCCAUUUAGGUAAUACUUAUAUGCUACAUAUCUCUUUGAAGCAAAUGUCAUUGGUAUUCUUUAAAGGCAGGAUGACAGCUACUAGUCCUGUUUUGACUAGGUGGAAGUUUGGCAGAUUUAUGACACAUUUAGACCAUUUACAAUUACACAAUAGACAAUGGAUGUUACAAUAAACUAAUUCUCAAGAACCUCAAAUUCACUGGUACCAUAAGCACGAAACAAAGAAAUAGGACAAAAAUGCUCAGAUCCAUAAUAAUAAACUGACCAACUGGGCUCCAAUCUCUUGUAGGAAAACGAUCGCUAAUAUACACUGAAAAAUCCUUCGGUGACGAACUAAAAAGCUCAAAAUUGGCUAAUUCGAUUUUCUUAGCUUGAAUCGCCUCACAAAGUUCUACUACGAACCAUAUACGUGACGUACAUGUAUUGAGCAUAUAUUCAUCCCUGGUGGAAACUAAAACGCUUCCAACACUUCGCGCUUCUGGAUUUGCUGCUACGAUUUUUGCACCACAAUCUGGAGAAGCAUAAUUUUUAGAACGAACUUUCAUUCCACCAAUUCCUCGUGUUGGUGUUCCAGAAUUCUGAACAGAAGCAUUUGGAUGUGCUACAAAAAGGCUUCUUCUAAUCUUUUUUGUGUCCAUUCACUGAAGGAUGGAAUAUCUUCAUGUGGAUUUGAAGAUCCUACAGUUACAAUUCCUUCACCAAGAACAACUGCAGCAGUGUCAUCUCGAUUAUCUCCCACUAAUCGAGCUUUAGC